UACGUAGGGCGCAAGCGUUAUCCGGAAUUAUUGGGCGUAAAGAGCUCGUAGGCGGUUUGUCGCGUCUGCCGUGAAAGUCCGGGGCUCAACUCCGGAUCUGCGGUGGGUACGGGCAGACUAGAGUGAUGUAGGGGAGACUGGAAUUCCUGGUGUAGCGGUGAAAUGCGCAGAUAUCAGGAGGAACACCGAUGGCGAAGGCAGGUCUAUGGGCAUUAACUGAAGCUGAGGAGCGAAAGCAUGGGGAGCGAACAGG
rnacentral:rRNA from 1 species